rnacentral:piRNA from 1 species
UCAAACAGAGGUGUAUUUGACAAAUUCUGCA